AUUGUAUAGUAGCCGAAUUUCUGGGUGAAAACGGGGGAACCAUAGGAAGUGAUAAGAAGGUGAGUGAACGCCGCAUGUUUGUUGGCUUUACUUCAUCGGGGGUGAAUUUCGUUCAAGGAACGAAUAGGGCAGCCUGCAGCAGUCCGAAUCCGUCAGCUAACCUCGUAGGCUUAUUUUCUGCAGGGAC
rnacentral:sRNA from 1 species